rnacentral:tRNA from 1 species
GCCUGGAUAGUUUAGUGGUAAAACGAGUCAUUGGUAAUGACUUGAGUGUGGGUCCGAUUCCCACUCCAGGCUCAA